CCUACGGGGUGCAGCAGUGAGGAAUAUUGGUCAAUGGACGAGAGUCUGAACCAGCCAAGUAGCGUGAAGGAUGACUGCCCUAUGGGUUGUAAACUUCUUUUAUAUGGGAAUAAAAUGUUCCACGUGUGGGUUUUUGUAUGUACCAUAUGAAUAAGGAUCGGCUAACUCCGUGCCAGCAGCCGCGGUAAUACGGAGGAUCCGAGCGUUAUCCGGAUUUAUUGGGUUUAAAGGGAGCGUAGGUGGAUUGUUAAGUCAGUUGUGAAAGUUUGCGGCUCAACCGUAAAAUUGCAGUUGAUACUGGCAGUCUUGAGUACAGUAGAGGUGGGCGGAAUUCGUGGUGUAGCGGUGAAAUGCUUAGAUAUCACGAAGAACUCCGAUUGCGAAGGCAGCUCACUGGACUGCAACUGACACUGAGGCUCGAAAGUGUGGGUAUCAAACAGGAUUAGAUACCCGUGUAGUC
rnacentral:rRNA from 1 species